GGAAAAAUCAACCAUCAUCGGUAUUGUUAAAAGGAAUAAAAGUUGAUCAAGAAACCUGUCAGUCUGUCAAGAAAGCUUUUAUUACAGAAUGGAACCCAAUUUUUUUUAACUAAUUAUUCAUAUUUCAUAAAAUAAUAUGAAAACGUGUUUUGAUCAUUAUCAAAAUUCAUGAACUCAAAGAAGAAUGUAAGCCAAAUCAAAGGUGCAUAAGAUGGACUGAACACAUCCAUUGGCUCAUUAAGAACAAAAGGAUCACUCUUGUUUAUCUAAAAUUUUUUGAUAUAUUAAUAUUUAAAUUAAAAUGUAUAAUAGGCAAGGCAAUUAAGUAGGAAUUUUUUUUCUCUAUUUGAUUACUUUCCUCUUUACCAUGAUCCAAUAGUUAGGCUAUAAGACUGGAUAGACUUCAAUUCUCUCUUUACAAACAGCUAUGUUUCAUGCCAAAAAGCCUUUAAUUUUCUUAGAUAUAAUUUCCCCUAAUUUCUAUUAACGCAAAAAUGUUCCUGUUCUUAACAAAAAGACAAAGUAAGGCCUUUUUGAAGGAGAAAUAAAUUUCUAGGAAAGCUUCAAAUUGUCCCCAUUGUUAUGCAUGCUCAUGGAGUUUGGGACCUAAUAGGAGCUGCAAUAGGACUGGUAGGGAUUCCCCACCACAGCAGAUGAAAAUUGCCACCCUCUCAUUAAAAAAAGCUAAACUUGAAAAGGGGUGUUAAUAUUUUUUAU
rnacentral:misc_RNA from 1 species